CCUGAAUACACUGUAACAAACAUCUCCACUAUCGCUAGCUACCUGUCCCCAGAAAACACUGGUAAAAACAUCUCACUAUCUUCUAGCUGCUGUCCCCAAACACCGUAAAAAACUUCUCACUAUAUGCUAGCUGCCUGUCCCCUGAACACACUG